GGUUCCGUGGCCGAGUGGCUAGGCAGAGCUCUGCAAAAGCUUCUACAGCAGUUCGAAUCUGCUCGGGACCU
rnacentral:tRNA from 1 species